rnacentral:rRNA from 1 species
AUGGUUCCUACUCGCAAGUUGUUGUUGCUGCUGCUCGCCCAGCUGCUUGUGGCAGUGGCCGGCGUCGAGUUCGCCUACGAGGGCUUCCCCGUCGCCGGGCUGGCGCUCGACGGCAUAGCAAGCGUCACGUCGGACGGGCUGCUGCUGCUCACCAACGACACCGACUUGAACCUAGCCCACGCCUUCCACCCGGCCCCGCUCAGGUUCCACCGGACGUCCUCCUUCUCGACCACUUUCGUGUUCGCCAUCGUGUCGGAGCUCGUCGAUCUGAGCACGAGCGGGUUCGCGUUCCUCAUCGCGCCGACCAGCAGGGACCUGUCUUCGGCGAUGGCGGCGCAGUACCUCCGGACUGUUCAACGCCAGCGACAACGGCGACGCGCGGAACCGCGUCUUCGCCGUCGAGCUGGACAGCGUGCGCAACCCGGAGUUCGCGGACAUGAACGACAACCACGUCGGCGUCGACGUCAACAGCCUCAACUCCUCCGCGGCUGCCAUGGCGGGCUACUACGACGACGCCACCGGCGCGUUCCGGAAGCUGAGCCUGGCAAGCCGGGAGCCCAUGCAGGUGUGGGUGGACUACGACGCUGCCGCGACGGAGAUCACCGUGGCCUUGGCUCCGGCGCGGUCGCCCCGGCCCAAGAGGCCGCUCCUGACCGGAAGGAUCGACCUCUCCACGGUCGUCGCCGACACGGCGUACGUCGGCUUCUCGUCGGGGUCCAGCAUCGUGUUGUGCAAGCACUACGUGCUCGGCUGGAGCUUCAGCCUGGACGGCCCCGCUCCAGCGCUCGACCACGCAAAGCUGCCGACGCUGCCCCGCAUUGGCCCCAACCCCCAGUCAAAGACGCUCGCCAUCGCGCUGCCGAUCGUCACCACGGCAGCCGUCCUCGCGGCGGCCGGCAUGGGCCUCUUGUUGCUCCGCCGGCGGCUCAGGUACGCGGAGCUGCGCGAGGAUUGGGAGGUGGAGUUCGGGCCGCACCGGUUCGCGUUCAAGGACCUGUACGACGCCACCGCCGGGUUCAAGGACAAGCGGCUGCUGGGCACCGGAGGGUUCGGGAGCGUGUACAGGGGCGUGCUCCCGGGGUCCCGUACCGAGGUCGCCGUGAAGAGGGUGUCACACGAGUCGAGGCAGGGGAUGAGGGAGUUCAUCGCGGAGGUGGUAAGCAUCGGCCGGCUCCGGCACCGCAACCUCGUACAGCUGCGCGGAGCUGUUGCUGGUAUACGAUUACAUGCCACAUAGCAGCCUCGACAAACACCUGCACGGGCACGGCCAUGCUCUGGAGUGGGCUCAGAGGCUCAGGAUCAUCAAAGGCGUCGCCUCCGGGCUGCUGUACAUGCACGAGGACUGGGAGCAGGUCGUCAUCCACCGGGACAUCAAGGCGAGCAACGUGCUCCUGGACGGCGAGAUGA